AUGGAGUUCUGAACCCUACAGACCAAGCGUAGUAUCUGUUCUUAUCAGUUUAAUAUCUGAUAUGUCCCUUAUCUAGGAACCAUAUAUUAAAUUGGUGGUGGCACAGUGGCACAGCGAUAGAGUUCGUUCCUUACAGCGCCAGAGACACCACGUUUGAUCCUGACUACGGGUGCUGUCUGUACUGA